CCGAGGUGUAAAGAAGGUCUAAAAGAUAGCAAAAGCCGAAGCCAACAACUCCAGAAGAAAAGCCGAAGCCCAGCCUCCUCGACUGUGAACCCUCCAAUCUCUCGGCUGGAACUUUUUCCUUUUGUUUUUGGGAAUUUCUCUCCCUUCGAUUUGGGCAUUGUCUGUUGUGACUUUGAUUUUGGGACAGAAGUGUGAUGAUCGGAUGAUUGCUGCUCUUAAAGGUAGCAUUGUUUGAAACUCUUUCUGUUUUUGGUUUGUUGCUGCUCCUUGGGGUCUGUUCUGCUUCUCAUGUUUUCUUUAGCAGUCGAUGAAAAACUGAUGUGUUCUUCCGAGAUUCUCAAAUCAGCAGAGAAAAAAUCAAAGUUCAUGUCGACUAAAAUGUGAUAGUUGCAGCUAUCAAUGUAUAAUGGGUUACAAUUUUUUACAAAGGUCAACUGAAUACUGUUGUUUUUUUUCUCCUCUUUUUUAUUAUUAAUGAUUGUAUGGGUCCUGAGUUGUCACUGUUCCUGCUCAGCAGUGCAUACCGAUAUAAUUAAAUAUUGACUUCCAUGA